rnacentral:rRNA from 1 species
GGUCCCAAAUGCUAGUUAAGUGGGAAACGAUGUGGGAAGGCUCAGACAGCUAGGAGAUUGGCUUAGAAGCAGCCAUUCUUUAAAGAAAGCGUAAUAGCUCACUAGUCGAGUCGGCCUGCGCGGAAGAUUUAACGGGGCUAAAUUAGCAACCGAAGCUGCGGAUGCUUUCGAGCAUGGUAGGGGAGCGUUCUGUAAGCCGUUGAAGGUGAAUUGAGAAGUUUGCUGGAGGUAUCAGAAGUGCGAAUGCUGACAUAAGUAACGACAAGGGGAGUGAAAAACUCCCCCGCCGGAAGACCAAGGUUUCCUGUCCAACGUUAAUCGGGACAGGGUUAGUCGACCCCUAAGGCGAGGCUGAGAAGCGUAGUCGAUGGGAAACAGGUUAACAUUCCUGUACUUUUUAUUACUGCGAUGGAGGGACGGAGUAGGCUAGGUUAUCACGGCGUUGGUUGUCCGUGUUCAAGGCUGUAGGCAAGCGACUUAGGUAAAUCCGGGUUGCUCUCUUUAAUGAGAAUGCUGAGAGUUGAUGACGAGUCUCGCAAGAGGCGAAGUAAUUGAUGCCAUGCUUCCAAGAAAAGCUUCUAAGCUUCAGGUAAUAGAGAAUCGUACUGUAAACCGACACAGGUGAUCAGGUAGAGAAUACCCAGGCGCUUGAGAGAACUCGGGUGAAGGAACUAGGCAAAAUGGCACCGUAACUUCGGGAGAAGGUGCGCCGGUGUUGGUGAUAGGACUUGCUCCUUGAGCUGACGCUGGUCGAAGAUACCAGGCCGCUGCGACUGUUUAUUAAAAACACAGCACUCUGCAAACACGAAAGUGGACGUAUAGGGUGUGACGCCUGCCCGGUGCUGGAAGAUUAAUUGAUGGGGUGCAAGCUCUUGAUCGAAGUCCCAGUAAACGGCGGCCGUAACUAUAACGGUCCUAAGGUAGCGAAAUUCCUUGUCGGGUAAGUUCCGACCUGCACGAAUGGCGUAACGAUGGCCACACUGUCUCCUCCAGAGACUCAGCGAAGUUGAAAUGUUUGUGAUGAUGCAAUCUCCCCGCGGAAAGACGGAAAGACCCCAUGAACCUUUACUGUAGCUUUGUAUUGGACUUUGAACAGAUCUGUGUAGGAUAGGUGGGAGGCUUUGAAGCGUGGUCGCUAGAUCAUGUGGAGCCAACGUUGAAAUACCACCCUGGUGUGUUUGAGGUUCUAACCUAGGUCCAUUAUCUGGAUCGGGGACAGUGCAUGGUAGGCAGUUUGACUGGGGCGGUCUCCUCCCAAAGAGUAACGG